UUGUACUUGGCACAUGUAAGCUGAGGUCUUUCCAGCUUCUCACUUUGAGUGAGAAAAGGACCAUUCAGUGAAUAGUCCUCUUUAAGAGAAUCCUCAUAAAGUUCCCUUCAGGAUAGCUUCCAGCUAGAUUCCGAGGGCUGACUCCUUUCUAGAUGGCAUACUGGUACUCCUCUCCACUCUGAGAGGUCACACUCUUGAAGCAGCUGCCCUUCUCAGCGGAUGUCCAUUAAUUAGGCACUGCCAGAAGAA